rnacentral:lncRNA from 1 species
GUGGGCGGUAUCCCUCGAUAGUAUAAUCAUAUUAUAUCUCGGAUUUGAAGUGUGACAGUAGCUACCAAAAAUCUUUGUAAAAGUUUAAGGAUAAUCAACUUAAUUCCAUAGCUUAACUCUAUUUAAUUUGAGUUUUAUGUACCAAUUAUAUUCCUCCAAAAUUUCAAUUUGGCAUUGAAUAUCUAAAUUUAUUGGGUUAC